UAUUGUAUUUGGCAACAAAAGUUAAAAUUUUACCGAGGGGCACUCAGGUCAAAUUUAAUUAGACGAACAAUGUAAAAAUCGCUGACAAAAUCCUUCAUUAUGCCGACAAGAUGUUUUCAGGGGGUGUCACACUCCAACACCACUCUCUAGCAACGGCCCUGCUGACUCAAUGUAUGUAUUAUAUAACAGUUUUAUAUAUUGGAUAUUAGAUACAUAAUACAAUUGUGUAAUCCACUGUAUAUCAGUUGAAGAGGAAGAAAUGUAUUUUACAUGUACAAUAGCCUAAAUUGAGGAAGCUAUUAAGGGCUCAAUGUGGUGUAAAAAC